GAACAACAAUAGGUUUUAACUUCUCUUGGCUAAUCUCAAGCUUCUAAAGAUCUUGUAUCAUUCCAAAUCCAGUGAUGUAAAACAGUGUUUUCCAAUUUGUAGAAUUCCAUAUGUGGAGACUUCAACUCCCAGAAAUCUCUGCAAUGGUCAUAUUGGUUUGAGGAAUUCUGGACAAUGAAGUCUACAUAUCAAAAGGAAUUGGCCCAUGUAGAGAAUCCACGAGAAGCCCUGGGGAUACAGUGGUUUGAAUGAAGAAUUGCAGGUUAACUCUGCCCACAGGCUGGAGUUUGAUUCUGAUGGGCUUAAGGUUCACUCAGCCUUCCAUCCUUCCAAGGUUGGUAAAAUGAGGACUCAGAUUGUUGGGAACAAUGUGCUGACAUUUGUAAACCAGCUCGAGAGUGCAGUUGCCUUUUGGAAAAAGCACCUUUGAGACAACCAUGACCUGGGUGAAUGAGAAUCUCCAUGGACAACUUUAAAAAGCCUUCUUCUUGAAGCCAGGUUGCCCUGAGAUUAUAUGACUUUUGGUAUCAGAUAAAAAUCUGGUAUUUUAUUCUCCAUUAGUAUUAUUGUAAUGACUCUUAUGUGCUUAUUAUUGACUUAACUUUCUGUUAACAGUCCAUAUUGCUCUUUUAGGUAAUAUCCUCUUAGUAAGUAGGCUACAAAUAUUUUGUAUAAAUACAAAUGAACCUUCCCCAAAUAUUGUAGAGAUGUGAUAUGCCUUACAGCAGUGUUUCUCAAACUUGACAAUUUUAAGGCAUGUGGAGUUGAAGUCCACAUGCCUUAAAAUUGUCAAGUUUGGGAAACACUGCCUUACAGCAUAUCAGUUAAACAUGUGGGGAAAUGCUUCUACCCACAUUUAUCUUCACUUGUCAUUAUCUUACAUGGGAGUCACUUCAGUAAAUGCAUUUUAAAAAAAGGAGUACUCCCCACCCAUGAUUUCUAAUGAUAUCCCACCCAGCCAACUAUUUGAGAGAACUCUGGUUUUAGAAGGCAGCUCUAGUAAUGCAGCUGAGGAGCCCCACUGAGAUGCCAGCAAUUAAUUCUUGAUUGAAGCAAAUUUCAGGAACAGGUGAAGUUGUUUUUUCUCCCUCUAUCUUGAACGAAGGUGCUCCUUUCUUUCUUCUGAAGGUUUGGUGCUUGUUCUUUUUAGCAUUUGCUGGUAUCUAGGUGUCUUAGACUUCCUUCAUUCUUUCCAGCAAAUAGAACACGGGUGUCAAACUUGCCACAUCACAUGACGUGUUGUGACGUAUCACGACUUUUUUUGCAUUGCCGGAGCUGGGGUGGGUGCAGUCUCCACAUGAUACAAUUGGCCCACGGGUCGGCAAUUUGAUACCCCAGAUAUAUAGAUGUCCCUUGCGUGGUGACCCAGUGGACAUCCUCCAGAAUAAAAUGACUAGGGCCAAAUAUGAUUUUGCUUUAUUUGCAUUUAAAGUAAUUUAAGAAUGCUCUUAAUAUGGCUGCUGUCUAAAACAAGUGGAAGGUAGUCCAAUUCUAGGACUACUACAUUUCAAAGGAGAAACCUGGUUUUUUUCCCCUCCCAGACCCUUUACUGUAUCUAAUAAUAUUCAUUCCUUACAUUUAGGAAUAGGGCUUAAAAGAUGCCAAAUCCCAAUUAGAUAGUUUUGGCAUGAAGGCAUAUCAUUCUAGGGGCCAUCCAUUUGGAGGACUGCAAUAUUGCAGUUGAGGUAAUUUUCUCAUCACUAUCAGGGAGAGAGACAAUUGGGCAGCAAAUGGAUGAUACAUCGACAUCUUUCUUUCAACAUUCUAAUCCUGUUUUGAGUUUUCAGCAUCUAUACUUGGAAGGGAUUGAUCGUUGAAUGUUUCAUCAGACAAAAUGUAACAGAGACUCCCUUUCAUGUCAAGUUUGAUUCUGCAAAAGAAGAGAGCUCAAGACAGAAAUAGCAAGUGGCAACCAGCCUUCAAAGAGUUAAGAAGAAAGGUGAGGAUAAAGAACAUAAAGAAGAGUAAAGUACCUGCAGGCAGGACAAGAAGCAAUGGAUGGAAACUAAUCAAGGACACAACCAAUCUAGAACAAAGGAGAAAUUUCCUGACAGGUAG